rnacentral:rRNA from 1 species
GGCCUAACACAUGCAAGUCGAGGGGUAUAUUUCUUCGGAGAUAGAGACCGGCGCACGGGUGCGUAACGCGUAUGCAAUCUGCCUUUCACAGAGGGAUAGCCCAGAGAAAUUUGGAUUAAUACCUCAUAGUAUUACAGGAUGGCAUCGUCCAGUAAUUAAAGUCACAACGGUGAAAGAUGAGCAUGCGUCCCAUUAGCUAGUUGGUAAGGUAACGGCUUACCAAGGCAACGAUGGGUAGGGGUCCUGAGAGGGAGAUCCCCCACACUGGUACUGAGACACGGACCAGACUCCUACGGGAGGCAGCAGUGAGGAAUAUUGGUCAAUGGGCGCAAGCCUGAACCAGCCAUGCCGCGUGCAGGAUGACGGUCCUAUGGAUUGUAAACUGCUUUUGUACGAGAAGAAACACUGAUUCGUGAAUCAGCUUGACGGUAUCGUAAGAAUAAGGAUCGG